AUCAUCUUAUCAUUAAGAAUAGCUGAAUCGACAUGCAAUGAAUCAAAAGGCGAAGUAACGAUAACGAGUGUGUAGGAUACACAACCACCCGGCACAUGCACCUGUAGAAUGUAUACUAGAACUUCAUUACCGUAACCAAACAGAAUUGUUUCCCAAAGUCGCUGUGCCAUGCGACUACCACAUUAAGCCGCCCGGUGCUCAUUAAAAUACAAUGAACUAUUAUGAUGCGGCUAUCGUUUUGACUCCUUAUGGUUUCUAUAAAAGACGACACCAGUGUGUUUAUUAAAACGUUGUUUGGUAUUAAUCUAACGUAAAUUUGUGUGUUUUUUGUUCCUCCAGAUUUUGUAUAAUUUGGCAUAAAUUAG